AGUCUAGUAGUCUAGCAGUUAGAGCGUUUGCCUCAGAUGCAGGUGGUUGUUGGUUCGAUUCCCAGCCAAGUCAU